ACCUAACACAUGCAAGUCGAACGAAGGCUUCGGCCUUAGUGGCGCACGGGUGCGUAACGCGUGGGAAUCUGCCCCUUGGUUCGGAAUAACAGUUAGAAAUGACUGCUAAUACCGGAUGAUGACUUCGGUCCAAAGAUUUAUCGCCGAGGGAUGAGCCCGCGUAGGAUUAGGUAGUUGGUGGGGUAAAGGCCUACCAAGCCGACGAUCCUUAGCUGGUCUGAGAGGAUGAUCAGCCACACUGGGACUGAGACACGGCCCAGACUCCUACGGGAGGCAGCAGUGGGGAAUAUUGGACAAUGGGGGAAACCCUGAUCCAGCAAUGCCGCGUGAGUGAUGAAGGCCUUAGGGUUGUAAAGCUCUUUUACCCGGGAUGAUAAUGACAGUACCGGGAGAAUAAGCCCCGGCUAACUCCGUGCCAGCAGCCGCGGUAAUACGGAGGGGGCUAGCGUUGUUCGGAAUUACUGGGCGUAAAGCGCACGUAGGCGGCUAUUCAAGUCAGAGGUGAAAGCCCGGGGCUCAACCCCGGAACUGCCUUUGAAACUAGGUAGCUAGAAUUCUGGAGAGGUCAGUGGAAUUCCGAGUGUAGAGGUGAAAUUCGUA
rnacentral:rRNA from 1 species